GACGAACGCUGGCGGCGUGCUUAACACAUGCAAGUCGAACGGAGCGAAUGAAAGCUUGCUUUUAUGAGCUUAGUGGCAAACGGGUGAGUAACACGUAGACAACCUGCCGAUCAGAUGGGGACAACAUUCCGAAAGGAAUGCUAAUACCGAAUGGCGUGUAGGGGAGGCAUCUUCCCUACAUGAAAGAUGGCCUCAUAUAUAAGCUAUCACUGAUCGAUGGGUCUGCGUCUGAUUAGCUAGUAGGUAAGGUAACGGCUUACCUAGGCGGCGAUCAGUAGCCGGUCUGAGAGGAUGAACGGCCACAUUGGGACUGAGACACGGCCCAGACCCCUACGGGAGGCAGCAGUGGGGAAUCUUCCGCAAUGGGCGCAAGCCUGACGGAGCAACGCCGCGUGAGUGAAGAAGGUCUUCGGAU
rnacentral:rRNA from 1 species